GAGGCUCAAGAGAGAGGGGAUAUAGGGAUAAAUGUAUACAUAUAGCUGAUUCACUUUGUUGUACAGCAGAAACUAACACAAUAUUGUAAAGCAUUUAUACUCCAAUAAAGAUGUGGAAAAAAAACCCCACAAUGACGUACCACUUUACACUCAUUAAACGGUUAGAAUUCAAAAGACUAACAAUAACAAGUGCUGGUAGGAUAUGGGGCAACAAAAACUUUCAUGCAUUGCUGAUGGGAAUGUAAAAGGGUAGAACCACUUUGAUGAUAGCAUAGUUGUCAAUCCUCAAUAAAAUGAUCUUUAAAUAAUCAAAAAAAGAAAAAGUAGAACCACUUUGGAAAACAGAUUAGCAGUUUCUUGUAAAAUUGAAUGUAUAUUAUGUUACACCUUCCAGCAAUUCGACUCCCUGGCAUCUACACAAGAGAAAUGAAACUAAAUGCCUACACAAAGACUUGUACCUAAAUAUUCAUAACAGCUUGAUUCAUUAGAGUCCAAAACUAGAAAUAACCCAGAUGUUCAUCCAUUGAUAAAUGGAUAACUACAUUUUAGUAUAUUCAUACAAUGGAAUAUUACUCAGCAAAAAGGUGAGUGAAGUGCUGAUAUACAACAUGAAUGGAUCUCAUAGACACUGUACUGAGUGAAAUAAGUCAGAUGAGCUGAAUGGUGGCAUUUGUAUGAGUUCCAGAACAGGCAAAACAAAUCUUUGAUUAUAGGAAUCAAAUUGCCUAGGAUGGGAGAGGAGGGAGAGAUUGGAUGCAAAGGAGAGUGAGGGAACUUUCUGGGCUGAUGGAAAUGUUCUAGAUCUUAAUUGGGUUGGUAGUUACACUGGUGUAUAACUAUUAUUUUGGUGGCAUGGCCAGAAUAAAUAAAUAAAAUAAGAUCUGUAGUUUUAUUGUAGAUAAAUGAUACUUCAAAAAGUUAAUUUAAAAAGAAAUCAGCAUACUGAUACCUCUAAUUCAAAUCCAGCACUUCAGGACUCUUCCUCACCUUCCCCCAUUCCUUUUUUUUUGGCCCCUCCUCGCGGCUUGUGGGAUCUUAGUUCCCCGGCCAGGGAUCGAACCCGUGUCCCCUGCAGUGGGAGCGUGGGGUCCUAACCACUGGACCGCCAGGGACGUCCCCCCAUUCCGUAUUUUAUCUCCCUUUUUUCACAGUGCAAUCUCUGGUUCCCAACAUUUAUAUGUUUAUUCAUUAUUUUCCAUUUUUAAUACAAAAACAGCAAAACAGUUUUAGAAUUAGUACACCAAUACCAUUAUCAACAACAAACCUACUAAGUAAAGUUCAAGUUUUCUUGUGUGUGUGGUUCUUUUGUUCUUACGAAGUCCAUGAACUGUGUUCAAAAGUUACUUGAAUCCUUAUAUUCUUUUUCUGUGAGGUUAUAUUAUUAAUUUGACAUACAGUUGGGUUGAUUUGUUACCGUUUAUAUUCAAUUUUAGGAUUUUUGAAAAUCUCUUUCGAUAUAUUUUUGAAUAUGUAAAAUGUUUAUGUGGUUCAAGAGCCGAAACUAUAUAAGAAAAUAUACUUAGAGAAAUAUCCUUCCUAUCCUGUCUCAUCCACUCCGUUCUUACCUACCCCCAACAGUAACCGUUUUAUUCGUUUCUAGUUUAUUCUUCCCAGUGUUCCCUUUUUGGAAUAUAUAUCUCAUUUCCCCUUCUUUCUUACACAAAGGUAGUAUACUACAUACUUAGCAAUUUGUCCUGGUAAUCACUCCAUAUCAGCUAAUGGAAAUCUUCCUCAUUUUUAAAAAUGGCUACACAGUAUUCCCUUGGGCGGGUUUAUUUAAUCCGUGGACAAGAAUUUAGGGUGUUUCCAAUAUUCUGCUUUUACAAAUAAUGCCACAGUGAAUACACUUAUGCAUAUGUUGUUUUAUGUUUGUGGAAGUAAAUUUUCAGGGUAAAUUCCUAGCAGUGGGAUUGCUGGGUCAAAAGUAAAUGCUGUCAUCUUAUCAGUGUCACCAAUUCCUCUCCAUAGAGGCUGUGCCAUUCUGUACUCCUGCAUGUUUCCCCCAAGCCUUGCCAACAGAGUGUACUGUCCAAAUGUUUUAGCAUUUGCCAGUCUUAUUUGGAGUGAAGUUGUGCAACUUUUCAUGUAUUUAAGGGUAGACUGGAAAAACUUUAAGGUUUGCGACCCAAGCCAUAUAUUCCACAUACUACUCACAGUAACAGAUGCCCCAUCUGCAUUUGUUAGAUGAAUAAAUGAAUGAACUGGUUGGACUUUUAUACUGGACUCGUCAUGUUUGCACUCUUGUGAAACCUGUCCCUGUGACAAGUUGACUCUUGUCCCAGUGUAGGGCAGUGCCAGGGGCCUGGCAGAGGUCUAGUAAAAGAGGAGAUGGGCCUUCUAGAGGGAAUGAGUCCUGGACUUUCCCACUGCCAGGAUUCCACCAUACAGACAGGUAGAAGACCCUUUUCUCCCAGAGGAAUAUAGUAAAAAGAGUGCAGCAUCAUGAGUGCAGGGAUAUGCACAAAGCCAUCGCGAUGCAUGAUACAAUAAUCCAAUACCCUAGUGGUAUUGUUUCUAUUAUUUUUAAUACUUGUUAAAUAAGUGCAUCAACAUGGAUGAGAGUUUUUUUCUUAUUGAUUGAUUAAAUAGGUAAUAUAGUUACAUAGUUCAAAGUUCAAAAGUCUUAUUCAAUGAAAAAUUUCCCCUCAUUCCUAUUUCCAAGCCACCAAGUUACCUUCCUCUCAAAGGCAACUGGUGGUAUCAAGUUCUUGGGUGUCUUUUCAGAGAUAUUGUAUGCAUGAAACAAGUGAAUACACACCUUUUAACCUAAGUUAUAGCAGAGUGUGCACAGUGUUCUGUGAAUCCUUUUUUACACUUAACUGUAUAUUUCACAGGUCAUCCCAUUCUGCACCAAUACAUAAAGAGCUUCCUCAAACUUUUUCACAGCACAGCAUCCAUCAUUUACUACAACUUACAUUCUGGUUGCCUUACUGAGAGACAUUUAGGCUAUUUAUAGUCUUUGCUAUUACAAACAGUGCUAUAAUGUUAUUUUAUACAUACAAGAGUAUCUGUAGGAUACAUUUCUACAUAGGAACUGAAAGGGAUAUGUGCAUUUGUAAUUUUGGUAAAUAAUGCCAAAUUGGUGUCUUUGGGAUUGUACCAGUUUACACGCCAGUAUUGUGGGAGGUAAUGUAGGAUCCUGGGCGGCCAUGCUCUUGAGAGCAUGUAGAAAAGUUGGCUGGAUUCUCCUCCACACUCUGGAUAGGAUGACUGUCUCCACUCUCAUGUGAGAGGACCUCAGAUAAACGCUCAGCAGGCUGGCCCAGUGGCGGCACAGGCUUCAAAAUAGGAAUGGAACAGGAUCCUGCUUCUGAAGUUGACAGACAGCCUUGAUGCCUUCCUUGACGAGAAGGCUCUAGGAAAAGAUGGCUCCUGCCAUCAAGGCCACACAACCCCCAGAAGUGACUUAGAUGGAGAUCAGAUUUCACUGGAGUUUAGGCCUGACCUUCAUAACUGGUACAUAAAUGGUUCUCACAGGCUGGACAGGACCAGCCAAUCAAACAGUAGGUGUGAGUGAAGUGGGAAGGUUCUUUCAGCUUUGAGUGCUUACUAUGUAGCAAUCCCUGUGCUAGUUACACUGGUGACAAGGAUAAAAUACCCUCCAGCAGUGGAGACAAUGAAAUGUAUUGUUGCAGCAAUGUGACAUGCUAUAAUAAAAUAUAACCAGGUUAUCACAGGAUGCAGAGGAGGAGAGCUGCAAGGAGAGAACAGCAUGCAAUCCAGGUGGGACUCGCAGGACAGGAGCCAUUGGAACCUCUUGGUGAAGUGAGGGAGGCUUCCACCCCAUAGGAGGUCUCUAGGAAAUGCCUCUUCCUUCAAGAGACAAAGGACUGAAGUAGGACUCAAGAAUUGCCAAGGACCUUGUCCACCUUGUGGAAGCCGCUACUCAUCCUUAAAUGCUGAGCUAAAGGGCCGUUUUCAGGAAGUCUGAGUUCCCUGAGUCCGUUUUACACCCGUCUUGUGGCAGUGUUUAAAAUUCUCCUAUACGUCUUUUCUGCCUCUCUCGCGCACUGCAGUAAAGCUCUUGAAGCUUAGGGACCAGGGCUCUGUGUCUCUCGCGCGCACUGCAGUAAAGCCCUUGAAGCUUAGGGACCAGGGCUCUGUGUCUCUCGCGCGCACUGCAGUAAAGCCCUUGAAGCUUAGGGACCAGGGCUCUGUGUCUCUCGCGCGCACUGCAGUAAAGCCCUUGAAGCUUAGGGACCAGGGCUCUGUGUCUCUCGCGCGCACUGCAGUAAAGCCCUUGAAGCUUAGGGACCAGGGCUCUGUGUCUCUCGCGCGCACUGCAGUAAAGCCCUUGAAGCUUAGGGACCAGGGCUCUGUGUCUCUCGCGCGCACUGCAUAAGCUCCUGAAGCUUAGGGACCAGGGCUCUGAUUUGCCUGUGCUGACUGGCACAAAGUUGUUUUCUAGAUUAGGACUCAGGUGGAUAGACUGGAGACCUACCUGCCGAGAAAACUAGCAAUCAUGUUGAGGAUCCCCUAAGUCCUGGAGGUGGUGUUAACCCAAAUUUGCUCAAGCUGGCAUUGCUGUGGCUUCCAUCUACUUCUAGAAUUGUCUAAUUCAGAAAUGUCUUCCUUUCCCUGCAUACUCGAGUUUCUUGGUAAAUUAGCUCCCUAAGCCCUCACGCUAUUAGUGAGUUUGUCAGAGUUUGAGGGUGGAUAAGUGCUGCCACACCUGAGUCAAUAAAGAAUGAAUCAAUGUGCCCCUCUUUGAUGGGUGUGGCAUGGUAGAUACUACGACAGCUGAGAUGCCAGCGAGAAUUACAAAACAAGGACAGAGGGAAGCAGGAAAUGUGGGGACCGAAUUAGGGUGAGCCAUCCUGUACCUUUCCACCUCCUCCUAAUGAGAUCUUCCUUGACGUCUCGGCACCAUCACACCAGCCACUACCACUUGUGAAGCUCUCGGGAGCCUCCCGAACACUACGUCGACUCUCCUGCCACUCUGACACUCUCCCCUCUUCUUUGCUGGCCUUCUUCCACCUUCUUCUAGAGAGAAUUUUCCCAAGUACCAUCUUUGGUCCUAUCUUUGCACCCUCUCCCUGUCUCCCUUUCCUCUCUCAGAGAACUCGUCCAUGGUCAUGGGCUCAAGUGUCAGCUCCUGGCAGGUGAUUCCCCUCUGUCCCCUGGAUUCCACACCCUUCUCUGACCUUGCUGCUGGACUUGACCUCUGGGUUUCCAUUGCCUACUAGAUGUUUCCAUUUGGAUGUCCUGUCGUCAUCUCAAACUAAACAUGCAUGAAAUCAAGCCUGUCUUCCCCUCCCAGUUUCCAUUUUGUUCUGCGCAUGGCACCAGCAUUCUCUCACCCACCCGAGCUCAAAACCUGAGUCAUAGUGGCCGGCUCCUCCCCAUAUCCUUCCUUCCCAAACGCAGGUCUUGCCAGCUUCCUUUGCAACCUCUCGUAUAGCUAGCUCUUUGUCCUUUGCAUUGUCUGCUAAUCUAGGUCUCAGCACCCAUGUUUUGAAUAUUUUAUAGCUUCCUACUUGGCCCUCCUGCCUGCAGUUUCUUCCCCGUCUAGUCUGGUCAGACAGAUUCUCCAGAAUGAUUAUUUUUAUCCUGUCCCUCUCCUGCUCAAAAACCUUCAGGCACUCUCAUCACCACCGAUGAGUCCAGACUCCUUUGUCUCAGGCUCAAGAACCUGUGUUUGUUCCGCCACCUCACUAGUGUUAUGCCACAUGACAUGAGUGCAGGCUCUGGAGCGGGACUCUGGGAUCAAAUCCUGUUUAUUCUCCUCAGUCACAUGCUGUGUGAUCCUGGGCAAGUACUUAACCUUUCUGUGCCUGAAUUUCCUCUCUAAAUUGCUUUAUAAAACGUUUAUAAUAAUUUCUAGGAUUGCUGUGAGGAUAAAAGGCACUUAGGACAGUGCUGGAUACAUAGCAAGCACCGAAACGCCAGCUUUGGGCUGCGCUGAUUUUUGUAGAGCAAGUGCUGCAGUCUGCACACAUCUCCCCUGGGCACACACACCCACCUCUCCUCACCGCCUUUGCUCAACCCAGUCCCUCAGUCUAGAAUGUUUUUCUCUGUCUGCUGACUCUUACUCACCCUUCAAGGGCCGCUGACCUAUUUCCUCCCAACACACGCUUGUUUGGUGCUUUCUGCAGUGCAGCUCAGCCUCGGCUGGGUGGUAGUGGGCGUGUCGCGGUAUAUGAAACCAGCCAUAGGCCACACAGGACCACAUCUUCCUGGGGUUCAUUUUACUUGGUAAGUAAGUUCAGCCAUUUUUACGUUACAGCAACUACCCCACACACAUCAUGGAGCAGAAUGCAAAAUUGGCCAAAGAGAAAACACACAACUACUAAGAAUGUUCAGAGUGGCCCUGGUGGCGAGUGUGCAUUCAUUCUGCAGUGGAAAGUUCUGAGAAGCAGGGGCCUGGUGGGUUGAGAGGCCAGGCGUGAUGAGGGCACUGUCUCCAGGAGGCCUUGGUAAAGUAUCCCCGUAUUACCUGGGAGCAGUUAGCCCAUCGAUCUACCCAGUGGCUCUUCACUAGAGCGUCCCGACACGCCAGACAUCAGUCAUCUGUGAUUACUGACCGCCGCUGCCUCAGCCAAGCAUCUUCCCUUCGUUGUUUCUCUUUUCCUUUCCAACGUUCUUAUAAAGGUAUUGAUUAUUCCCAUUUUACAGAUGGGGAAACUGGAGAA